rnacentral:lncRNA from 1 species
GCUGCUUCCGCUUGCAGUGGGUUUGUCUUCCGUUUCCCGGGACUGGAAAUUAACUCAGGUACUUCAGACUCAGGAGUGAGAAGUGGUGAUUUAAAAAGGGAGAAAUGUGAAACUCAAUUUUACCCUUGGUUGAGAAGGUACUAAUUUGCCUGACAAGUUGGAAACGGAAGGUACUCAAGGUAGAAGAAACGCAUCCUGCAGUCGUGAGGUACACCAGGCAGCUCUGCUCCAUGAAGUGCCAAGGAAAAGCCACUGUAGUCAGUAACGUCUUUGGAGGGAUCUGCCUGCAGCUCAUUUUCCAUAAGAAAAAAUUAUGAAAUAAAUUGAAAUAUUUGCAAUGACAUUUUCUUGUUAUUUUUGGAGAAGCACAGCACACAUAUGUGUAUAUGUGUAC